rnacentral:rRNA from 1 species
UACGUAGGGGGCGAGCGUUGUCCGGAAUUAUUGGGCGUAAAGAGCGUGUAGGCGGUUCGGUAAGUCUGCUGUGAAAUCCUGGGGCUCAACCCUGGGCGUGCAUUGAAUACUGCCGGGCUAGAGGGCGGUAGAGGCGAGUGGAAUUCCGAGUGUAGAGGUGAAAUGCGCAGAUAUUCGGAGGAACACCAGUAGCGAAGGCGGCUCGCUGGGCCACAACUGACGCUGAGAUGCGAAAGCGUGGGGAGCGAACAGG